AUGGCCCGCUCGAUUUUGAGUAAAGGUUCACGCUUUUAUCCAUAUGGCGAUACCAAAUCCUUUCAAAAUUUACAGCACCUUCAGCUGCGUUCAUGCCCCAGCCUCCAGUUUUUGCUCCCUCUGUGGGUCUCCUCCUUCCCCAGCUUGGAGACCCUCCACAUCAUCCACUGCGGCAACCUCAGCCACAUCUUCAUACUGGACGAAGAAUACCCUGAAGAAAUAACUACCCGCGGUGUACAAUUCCCAGAGCUUACCACCAUCCAACUGCACGACCUCCCAAAUCUGCAGCAAAUAUGCGAGGUCAAGAUGGUUUCCCCUGCGCUCAAGAGCAUCAAGAUCAGGGGAUGCUGGAGCCUGCGCCGGCUGCCAUCCGUGGGCGCACGUGGCAAUGGCAAGAAGAAGCCGGCCAUUGAGAUCGAGAAGGACGUGUGGGACGCCUUGGAGUGGGACGCCCGCCACCGCCCUGCCCACUUCGAAGCGCCGGUCCACUCGUGCUACUACAAGGAGAAGCUGCCCAGGGUCUCCGUCCUCAGGUGA
rnacentral:rRNA from 1 species